rnacentral:rRNA from 1 species
GACGAACCGAGCGAACGUUGUUCGGAAUAACUGGGCUUAAAGGGCGCGUAGGCGGGCCGCCAAGUUCGAGGUGAAAUCCUCCGGCUCAACCGGAGAACUGCCUCGAAUACUGGAGGCCUCGAGGCGGGUAGGGGCAUGCGGAACUGUGGGUGGAGCGGUGAAAUGCGUUGAUAUCCACAGGAACUCCGGUGGCGAAGGCGGCAUGCUGGACCCGAUCUGACGCUGAGGCGCGAAAGCCAGGGGAGCAAACGGGAUUAGAAACCCUCGUAGUCC